CUGAAUGGGGUUCAUAGGAUUCUUGAACUGAUAUUAUUCAGGCUAAAAUCAGAAUUUAAGCAAUAAUCUUAACAUUUGCCCGGUAACAAAACUAGGUGAAUUAACCUAGUUCAACAUUUAUCUUUUUCUCUGUUCAUGCUUAUAAGCUAUCAGAAAACAAAUUUUUAAGCAGCAGAUGUUGAUUUUUCAGACUCUAGUUGUUGUUUCCACUGUCCUGGGGUCACAGCUUUCUUUAUUGAGAGGGCAUGAAUCUGUUUCAUCUCCUCUUCCAAAGCAGCAUUAACCAGUCGAUGUCGCUCGAGCAACCUCUUCCCUUCAAACUGUUCUGAAACAAUCUCAAUUGCAAAGCUUGCACCACAUCCUCCAGAUGUAUCAAUUAUUUCAAGAUGUGAAGGAUUCAAUUUUGAUUUCAAAGUAGAUUCAACUUGUUCCUUUGUCACUCCCAUACUUCUCUCUCUGGCGUCCCAGCGUUUGCU
rnacentral:misc_RNA from 1 species